UCCAAGGAUACCUUUGCUGCAAGAGCACUUGCAGCAACAACAGAUGGUCCCUCCUGUGCACAGAAACUUUACCAGGAACACAGAUGCCUCCUUGAAUGAUUUAGCUCAUCAUGGGCAGAAAUUAAAGCCUUUGGACAGCUAUAGUGUCAAACAGGGAGUUAUAAUGGGAACAUGAAAUCAUUCUGGAAAGAAGAAACAGCUCCUGGAGGAAGGGAAGAAGCAAAUUGAGAGAAGAAGGAAAAACCUUACCACAAUGAAAGGCAAUCCAUUUGCAAAGAGGUAAAUACCUCACUUGGGAAGAAGAAUAACAAGAGGCUGGCCCAGGAAGCAAGACUUUCUUAAUGAACAGGAUUAUACCUGUCUGAACUAUUCCCAUGUAAAACAAGUAUUUUCUGAACUUCAGAUGAGGAAAACAUCAGAGACAUCCCACAGGAAAAAGUAUUUUGGUGAAAGCUGCUUCUCGCUCAAGUACUGGGACAUUUGAAGGUCUGAAAAAGCCUUGAAACAGAAGAAGCUGGAACAGAUUUCCAAGGGUUAUCUCCCAGAAAUCAUGAUGCUUUUUAAUCCUGAUUUCUACUACAGUCCUCUUGAAACAUCUCAUUCUUCAUUCCUGUCCUCAGUUUCUGGCCGGAUGAUUGAUUUUGUCAUCAAAGAAGCUGGAUCACUGAGAUGAGUUUGGCUCAAGGUCUCACAGAGAGGUUGCUGUAACUCCGUGAAAGAUUCUACAACCAAACCAAACCAAAACAGCCAUCUCUAAAUUUUAAUACAAUUUCAAUAGAAAAAUAGACACAACUUCUCUCAGUAAAGUGCCUCUCACAUCCUGUAGGAUGAGGGACUGAGUUGCACUAAAUGUAUUUACAAGGCAUAUAAUUAAAAUAUUUGGCACUUACACAGAGAAGGUGUUCAAAUGACCAAAAUUUCAAAGACUAGGAAUGCAAAUCCAGUUUAAAAUACCUACUCUAAAGACAGACCUGAUUUUCUAACCCACUUAUCCAUCACUUCUUCCAAACACCUUUGGUGAGACCAACCCAUUUAAAAAAGUCAGGAUACUCUUCUAAAGCAAGCUUUCAGGUAGAUUUACGAUCACAGAUUUUGUUUUGAAAACCAUCUAGUCUUGGCUGUAUCCGUGCUCAGCUUUAGCUCCAUCAAUUGUUUUGUUUCAAAUAACACAAGGUACAGUAGCACUUACACUGGCUGACAAAUUUAGUCAUAGAACUGUAAUGACAUAAUCUGAGAAUGUGUCUAACAUUUAGUGUAAGUACUAUACAUGUCUUCCAGAUGGUUUCCCUAAGCCAGGAGGGGAGCUAGCGUGGGUAGUAAAACCUUUGGAUGGGUUUUAUUAUGCUUGAGAAGCAACCAGCAUGAAAAUGAAGGAAAGUACCAGUUAUGGCUCAUACUCUGCCAGCAGCCCAGUGACUCCUUCCAGCUCCACCCAGCAUCACCGGACUUUCAGCUAAUGGUUCCAAACUUUGUGAAAUUCUGUCACUGUAGGUGAACAAUGGAUCACAGUCACCACUGGGCAUCAGAGACUCAGCUGUCAUAAGGACUGCACUUCUCUAAGUGUUGUAUCUCUGCUAUAGAGUUUUAAAAAUGCUAAGUUUUCUAGUAGCAUGACCACAAUUGCUGGAUAUCUUUGGAGAUUUAAUUUUUUGAUGGUAAUAGAUGGUAACAGAGAAGAAUAACGAGAGUCUCAACAAGUAAAGAAAUAUUUUUUUUCAAAUUGAUUUGAAACGGAUCUACACCAGCUUCUGACUUGUUAGCCAUUAGUUCUGCACUCUUAGAGAUGUCUGCAGAAAACUAUUUUGAUGACAACCGAGAGUGUUUGCAGGCUUGUGGAACAAAAUGAUAUAAUUUAGAAAUUUUCUGUGAGAUAAUAAUGACGUUCUAAUUGAAAAAUGUACUCUAAUUACCCUACAUCUUUAUAAGCCCGCCUCAGGAGCACAGUAAAAGAACAAGUGGCAAUAUUUUUACUGUACUAUAUGAGAAAAGGCUCUCAAACUUUUAUUUGUAUCACUUGAUGCAUGUUCAGGAGGUGGAAGUCUCAUAAAAGCAAAAUAAUUUCC